rnacentral:rRNA from 1 species
UACGAAGGGGGCUAGCGUUGUUCGGAGUCACUGGGCGUAAAGCGCACGUAGGCGGCUUGUUAAGUCAGAGGUAAAAGCCGGGAGCUCAACUCCAGAACUGCCUUUGAUACUGGAAAGCUCGAGGAUGGCAGAGGUUGGUGGAACUCCGAGUGUAGAGGUGAAAUUCGUAGAUAUUCGGAAGAACACCAGUGGCGAAGGCGGACAACUGGGCCAUUUCUGACGCUCAGGUACGAAAACGUGGGGAGCAAUCAGG